CCUACGGGGGGCAGCAGUGGGGAAUAUUGGACAAUGGGGGGAACCCUGAUCCAGCCAUGCCGCGUGUGUGAAGAAGGCCCUCGGGUUGUAAAGCACUUUCAGUGAGGAAGAACGCCUGGUGGUUAAUACCCAUCAGGAAAGUCAUCACUCACAGAAGAAGCACCGGCUAACUCCGUGCCAGCAGCCGCGGUAAUACGGAGGGUGCGAGCGUUAAUCGGAAUUACUGGGCGUAAAGCGCGCGUAGGUGGCUUGAUAAGCCGGUUGUGAAAGCCCCGGGCUCAACCUGGGAACGGCAUCCGGAACUGUCAAGCUAGAGUGCAGGAGAGGAAGGUAGAAUUCCCGGUGUAGCGGUGAAAUGCGUAGAGAUCGGGAGGAAUACCAGUGGCGAAGGCGGCCUUCUGGACUGACACUGACACUGAGGUGCGAAAGCGUGGGUAGCAAACAGGAUUAGAUACCCUAGUAGUC
rnacentral:rRNA from 1 species